rnacentral:rRNA from 1 species
AGUUUGAUCAUGGCUCAGAUUGAACGCUGGCGGCAGGCCUAACACAUGCAAGUCGAGCGGCAGCGGGAAAGUAGCUUGCUACUUUUGCCGGCGAGCGGCGGACGGGUGAGUAAUGCCUGGGAAAUUGCCCAGUCGAGGGGGAUAACAGUUGGAAACGACUGCUAAUACCGCAUACGCCCUACGGGGGAAAGCAGGGGACCUUCGGGCCUUGCGCGAUUGGAUAUGCCCAGGUGGGAUUAGCUAGUUGGUGAGGUAAUGGCUCACCAAGGCGACGAUCCCUAGCUGGUCUGAGAGGAUGAUCAGCCACACUGGAACUGAGACACGGUCCAGACUCCUACGGGAGGCAGCAGUGGGGAAUAUUGCACAAUGGGGGAAACCCUGAUGCAGCCAUGCCGCGUGUGUGAAGAAGGCCUUCGGGUUGUAAA